GAGCCGCGAGUGGCACCCACACUUAUCCUACUAUGUGAGCGAACCAACCAAUCUAAACCACAACAUUUCAAUCAUAAUAAACAGAAAAAUAAUGCGGAAGACUUUAAACUCAUUAACGAAAUCAAUAAUUAAUUUCUAAAACUCAAACUUAUCAUUAUCCCCAAAAUCUGGAAGUCAUCAUCACAAGAACAUCUAUCCUCAAAUUACUAAGUCUAAGAAUAUCUAAGAAACUAAAAUAACUAAAACGAUAGUCCAUGCCAGAACAUCAAGGCAUCAAGACGUGAAGAAGAAGAUCCAAUCCAAGCUAGAAACAAUAGCUCACCCUGAAAUCUGACGUGAUGAAGACUGGCUAGAGUUGCGGUUGAAUUGAAGACGACGAUAUGGUUGCUGCACUCCACAAUUAACAAAAAGAAAACAUACAAGUAGGGGUCAGUACAAAACACGAGUACUGAGUAGAUAUCAUCGGCCAACUCAAAAUAGAAAACAAUAUAUAUCGAAUAAUAACAUAAAAUCAACUACAAUACUUAACAGGUAGCAAACAACAAACACAUGAACCAUUGACAACAACACCAUAACAGGUACACCAUCAAUUUCAACAUCAAGCAAAGCUAUGAGGACUCAAGCCUCCACACCAUACUCAUUUGGGAAACAGGUUCAUUAAAUUGAGUACAUUAACAUAAUUCGAAAUCAUUUUUUUACUAUCCUGGUGUUGGAACGUGACACUCCGAUCUCCUAAUACUACGUGUCGGUUCGUGACACCCGAUCCAUUAAUACUAUAUGUCGGUUCGUGACACCCGAUCUAUUAAUACUACGUGUCGGUUCGUGACACCCGAUCCCCUAACCUCAUUCCUUUAGUCCAUCAAGCCUUCUUUUAUACCAAGGCAUCAUCAUUAACAAAGAGGUUUUAAGGUUUAAGAUUCAACCGCCUCAUCAUGCUUAAUUUAUCACAAUUAUGAAAUCACAUCAUGCGAGCACACAAUUAAGCAUAUAGAAGACUUUACAAUACUACCCAACACAUAUCAUUCGCUAUUAAGAGUUUACUAUGAAGUAGCAUAAACCAUAACCUACCUCCACCGAAGAAUUCGUGAUCCAGAAAUCUACUUUUCCAAAGCUUUGCUUUCCUCUUCGUUCUCUCCUCUUGAUCGAUCGUUUCUCCCUCUCUCUGUUCUUUUCUAUUUUUCUUAUUCCAACCCUGUUUUUCUUUUACCCUAAUUAGCAUAUAAUUAAGUAUGAAAGAUGACAAAAGUAACCCACUAAUUAAUUCAAGGUUAUCUCUUUUAACCCCCAAGUAAUUGAAUUAUUAACAUUAAACCACUAACUUUAUAAUUAUAAGCAGGAAUAGUCCAAAACGCCCCUUAAAAUAAUAGAAAUCCGACCCCGUUAGGGUUACACAGUCUGUGACGGCCCGUCGUGCCUACGACGGUCCAUCCUGCUGCUUCCGUCACAAAGUCCAGAGAAUCAAUUCAUUAAAGAGUCUGUGACGGUCCGUCGUUCCUACGACGGUCCGUCCUGCCAUGUCGUCGCGAAGUUCAGAGAGUUGUUCUCAGUACCCAAAUUUUUAGAAUCUAAGUGUUUUGGAACGAGACCCCCUCGACGGUCCGUCGUGCCCAUGACGGUCCAUCGUGGGAUCCGUCAACUCAGACAGUUAUUACCAGAAAUAAACUCUACAGCUCAAAACGACUAAACAGGUCGUUACACUUUUAUUUCUUACAACUCACAAUAGUAUUACUUGCACACUAUUUUCUCACAAACUAAGAAGUAGUUUGUGGAUUACUCUCUCUUU
rnacentral:lncRNA from 1 species